GGCGAGAUGGCCGAGCGGUCUAAGGCGCUAGAAUCAGGAUCUAGUUCUUCGGAGCGUGGGUUCGAAUCCCACUCUCGUCA
rnacentral:tRNA from 1 species